rnacentral:rRNA from 1 species
UUCGCCCUUAGAGUUUGAUCCUGGCUCAGGACGAACGCUGGCGGCGUGCCUAACACAUGCAAGUCGAACGGGGUAAAUCUUUCGGGGUUUACUUAGUGGCGAACGGGUGAGUAACGCGUGAAGAACCUGCCUUUCAGUGGGGGACAACAGUUGGAAACGACUGCUAAUACCGCAUAAUGUAUCGAGGGGGCAUCCUCUUGAUACCAAAGCUUAAUGUGCUGAAAGAUGGCUUCGCGUCUGAUUAGCUAGAUGGCGGGGUAACGGCCCACCAUGGCGACGAUCAGUAGCCGGUCUGAGAGGAUGAACGGCCACAUUGGGACUGAGAUACGGCCCAGACUCCUACGGGAGGCAGCAGUGGGGAAUAUUGGGCAAUGGGGGAAACCCUGACCCAGCAACGCCGCGUGAAGGAAGAAGGCCCUCGGGUUGUAAACUUCUUUUACCAGGGACGAAGAACGUGACGGUACCUGGAGAAAAAGCCACGGCUAACUACGUGCCAGCAGCCGCGGUAAUACGUAGGUGGCGAGCGUUGUCCGGAAUUAUUGGGCGUAAAGAGCAUGUAGGCGGCUUUUUAAGUCCGGAGUGAAAGUGCGGGGCUCAACCCCGUGAUGCUCCGGAUACUGGAAGGCUUGAGUGCAGGAGAGGAAAGGGGAAUUCCCAGUGUAGCGGUGAAAUGCGUAGAUAUUGGGAGGAACACCAGUGGCGAAGGCGGCUUGCUGGGCUUUUACUGACGCUGAGGCUCGAAAGUGUGGGGAGCAAACAGGAUUAGAUACCCUGGUAGUCCACACCGUAAACGAUGAUUACUAGGUGUGGGUGCGUCAAGCAUCCGUGCCGGAGUUAACACAAUAAGUAAUCCACCUGGGAGUACGCACGCAAGUGUGAAACUCAAAGGAAUUGACGGGGGCCCGCACAAGCAGCGGAGCAUGUGGUUUAAUUCGAAGCAACGCGAAGAACCUUACCAGCUCUUGACAUCCAUUGAACGGUAUAGAGAUAUAUUUUUCACUUCGGUGACAAUGAGACAGGUGGUGCAUGGUUGUCGUUAGCUCGUGUCGUGAGAUGUUGGGUUAAGUCCCGCAACGAGCGCAACCCCUAUGAUUAGUUGCCAUCAUUAAGUUGGGCACUCUGGUCAGACUGCCCGUGAAAGCGGGAGGAAGGUGGGGAUGACGUCAAAUCAUCAUGCCCCUUACGAGCUGGGCUACACACGUGCUACAAUGGUCUGAACAAAGGGAAGCGAAAUAGUGAUAUGGAGCGAAUCUCAAAAAACAGAUCUCAGUUCGGAUUGCAGGCUGCAACUCGCCUGCAUGAAGUUGGAGUUGCUAGUAAUCGCAGAUCAGCAUGCUGCGGUGAAUGCGUUCCCGGGCCUUGCACACACCGCCCGUCA